GACGAACGCUGGCGGCGUGCCUAAUACAUGCAAGUAGAACGCUGAAGGAGGAGCUUGCUUCUCUGGAUGAGUUGCGAACGGGUGAGUAACGCGUAGGUAACCUGCCUGGUAGCGGGGGAUAACUAUUGGAAACGAUAGCUAAUACCGCAUAAGAGUAGAUGUCGCAUGACAUUUGCUUAAAAGGUGCAAUUGCAUCACUACCAGAUGGACCUGCGUUGUAUUAGCUAGUUGGUGAGGUAACGGCUCACCAAGGCAACGAUACAUAGCCGACCUGAGAGGGUGAUCGGCCACACUGGGACUGAGACACGGCCCAGACUCCUACGGGAGGCAGCAGUAGGGAAUCUUCGGCAAUGGACGGAAGGCUGACCGAGCAACGCCGCGUGAGUGAAGAAGGGUUUCGGAUCGUAAAGCUCUGUUGUAAGAGAAGAACGAGUGUGAGAGUGGAAAGUUCACACUGUGACGGUAUCUUACCAGAAAGGGACGGCUAACUACGUG
rnacentral:rRNA from 1 species